AAUCAGAAGUGGGGCUAUGCCCCUCUUUUGGGACCCAAGGUCGCUUCGGCGGUCGAUCCGGGCGAAAGACAUUCUUAGGUGGGGAGUUUGGCUGGGGCGGCGCAUGUGUUAAAAGAUAACGCAGGUUCCAAAGAUGAGCUUAACGAGAACAGAAAUCUCGUGUGGAAUAAAGGGUAAAAGCUCGUUUGAUUCUAAUUCCCAAUAUGAAUACGAACUGCGAAAGCAUGGCCUAUCGAUUCUUUAGACCAUUAGAAUUUGAAACUAGAGGUGUCAAAAAAGUUACCACAGGGAUAACUAGCUUGUGGUAGCCAAGUGUUCGUAGCGAUGUUGCUUUUUGAUCCUUCGAUGUCGGCUCUUCCUAUCAUUGUGAAGUAGAAUUCACCAACUGUUGGAUUGUUCACCCACCAAUAGAGAACAUGAGGUAGGUUUAGAUAGUUAUGAGAUAGGUUAAUUUUACCCUACUGAUGAUUGUGUUGCAAUGCUAAUUCAACCUAAUACGAGAGGAACAGUUGAUUCACAUAAUUGGUCAUCGCGCUUGGCUGAAUAGCCAGUGGCGCAAAGCUACCGUGUGGUGGAUUAUGACUGAACGGCUCUAAGUCAGAAUCCGGACCAGAAUCGAUGUGUUAUCCACUGCUCAUUUGCCGACCAGCA
rnacentral:ncRNA from 1 species